UCUCCAGAGAACUUAGACAACAUCCUCUUCCUCAAAAAAGCACAAACAGACACACCAUGUCAUUUUUGGGAAGGAAACUGAGGCUGAAGGUUGAGCUGAGGUCCAGCAGUCAACACACUCUAAGAACCAGAGCAAUAUAGAAAUGUCUUUCAUCACUGUGGGGCUGGCACCAAAGGGCCAGAUCCCUGGCCAGGGUGGACUUCCUAAUGUGGCCACAGUGAUGUGCAAGAAGUUUCACAAUGAUAAGAGUGACGCAGGCCUGCCUGUGUGAGGAAAAAAAUGUAUUUAUUUCAAUAUGAUAUUAUUUCCAAUAUUUAGCCUGCAAUCAAAGUCGUAUAUUAUGAUAACGAACUUGGAAUGGAUAGCUCAAUUGACUCCUCUGCUGGUCAUCAUAGUUUUAAUUGUGAAAAUAAACACUCUAGAGGUGCUGAAAUAUUGGGGAAGAUUAGAGCGCAUCUGCUAAAUGCUGGAAUUUUAUUUUUUGAAAUUAAAAUGCAUAAUAUCA